GACGAACGCUGGCGGCGUGCUUAACACAUGCAAGUCGAGCGGAAAGGCCCUUCGGGGUACUCGAGCGGCGAACGGGUGAGUAACACGUGAGUAACCUGCCCCAGACUUUGGGAUAACCCUCGGAAACGGGGGCUAAUACCGGAUACGACACAGCUUCGCAUGGGGUCUGUGUGGAAAGUUUUUCGGUUUGGGAUGGGCUCGCGGCCUAUCAGCUUGUUGGUGGGGUGAUGGCCUACCAAGGCGACGACGGGUAGCCGGCCUGAGAGGGCGACCGGCCACACGGGGACUGAGACACGGCCCAGACUCCUACGGGAGGCAGCAGUGGGGAAUAUUGCACAAUGGGCGGAAGCCUGAUGCAGCGACGCCGCGUGAGGGAUGACGGCCUUCGGGUUGUAAACCUCUUUCAGCAGGGACGAAGCGUAAGUGACGGUACCUGCAGAAGAAGCGCCGGCCAACUACGUG
rnacentral:rRNA from 1 species